rnacentral:sRNA from 1 species
AACCAGUGGGUCCCUCCAGCUUGGAUGGCUCCUCCUUCCCUCUUCUGUCGUGGUCCUUGGCUGGGACAGUGGGAGGAUCUCCCAGCCCAGCCUGGGAUACCCAGCCCCCAGACUGGAGGGGUGGUCUGGGUGGGAGGGCACACAGCCCUGCCUCCUGACCAUCUGUCGGCUUUGCUGCCGCAGUCUGCCUGGGACCUUGGCGGGCUGGGGUGCGUCCUGUCCUGCCGCUGGGCCUGGCCUUCCUUCUUUGGGUGGCGGGGUCCUGCGACCCCCACACUCUGACUGCAGGGAUGGAGCCCGCACCUCCCUGUCAUGUGGGGAGCCCUCCCCACAGCAGGGCUGGGUGGGUGGGCCAGGAGGGGAGUGGGCUGCCCAGCCUCCUGCCGCCCCUGACGAGCCAGCGGUUCUCUCCCCUCUGUCCUGCUGCAGAUGGCGGCUCAGCGGCAGCGGGCGCUGGCCAUCAUGUGCCGCGUCUACGUGGGCUCUAUCUACUAUGAGCUGGGGGAGGACACCAUCCGCCAGGCCUUUGCCCCCUUUGGCCCCAUCAAGAGCAUCGACAUGUCCUGGGACUCCGUCACCAUGAAGCACAAGGGCUUUGCCUUCGUGGAGUAUGAGGUCCCCGAAGCUGCACAGCUGGCCUUGGAGCAGAUGAACUCGGUGAUGCUGGGGGGCAGGAACAUCAAG